rnacentral:rRNA from 1 species
AACGAACGCUGGCGGCAUGCCUAACACAUGCAAGUCGAACGAGACCUUCGGGUCUAGUUGCGCACGUCUGGGUAACGCGUGGUAACCUGCCCUUAGGUUCGGAAUCCCUCCCUUAAAGAUGUCCUCAUACCGCUUAAUCUCUUCGCACCAAAGAUUUCUCGCGUUUGGAUGGGCCCUGGUUGGUUUCGCCGGUUGGUAGGGUAAAAGCAUACUAAGGCGUGGAUCCAUAGCUGGUCUGGGAGGAUGAUCAGCCACACUGGGACUGAGACACGGACCAGAAUCGUACGGGAGGGAGCAGAGGGGAAUAUAGGAGAAGGGGGGAAAGCGUGAUAAAGCAAUGCCGGGUAAGAGAUGAAGGGCGUAGGGUUGUAAAGCUGUUUUACACGGGAUGAGAAUGACAGUAACGGGUGAAUAAGCACCGGCUAACUCCGUA